rnacentral:rRNA from 1 species
GAUGAACGCUGGCGGCGUGCCUAAUACAUGCAAGUCGAGCGAACAGACGAGGAGCUUGCUCCUCUGACGUUAGCGGCGGACGGGUGAGUAACACGUGGAUAACCUACCUAUAAGACUGGGAUAACUUCGGGAAACCGGAGCUAAUACCGGAUAAUAUAUUGAUCCGCAUGGUUCAAUAGUGAAAGACGGCUUUGCUGUCACUUAUAGAUGGAUCCGCGCCGCAUUAGCUAGUUGGUAAGGUAACGGCUUACGACGGCAACGAUGCGUAGCCGACCUGAGAGGGGGGUAGGCCACACGGGAGCUGAGACACGGUCCAGACUCCUACGGGAGGCAGCAGUAGGGAAUCUGCCGCAAUGGGCGAAAGCCUGACGGAGCAACGCCGAGUGAGUGAUGAAGGUCUUCGGAUCGUAAAACUCUGUUAUUAGGGAAGAACAAAUGUGUACGUAACUAUGCACGGCUUGACGGUACCUAAUCAGAAAGCCACGGCUAACUACGUG